rnacentral:rRNA from 1 species
UACAGAGGGUGCGAGCGUUAAUCGGAAUUACUGGGCGUAAAGCGUGCGUAGACGGCUAUCUAAGUCGGGUGUGAAAGCCCCGGGCUCAACCUGGGAAUUGCAUUCGAGACUGAAUAGCUAGGGUACGGUAGAGGGAAGCGGAAUUUCCGGUGUAGCGGUGAAAUGCGUAGAUAUCGGAAGGAACACCAGUGGCGAAAGCGGCUU